rnacentral:rRNA from 1 species
UACGUAGGGGGCAAGCGUUAUCCGGAUUCAUUGGGCGUAAAGAGCGCGCAGGCGGUUUGUUAAGCGAGGUGUGAAAUCCGGGGGCUCAACCCGCGGCUUGCAUCUCGAACUGGCAGACUUGAGUCUGGUAGAGGAAAGUGGAAUUCCAAGUGUAGCGGUGAAAUGCGCAGAUAUUUGGAGGAACACCAGUGGCGAAGGCGGCUUUCUGGGCCACGACUGACGCUGAGGCGCGAAAGCUAGGGGAGCAAACAGG